rnacentral:rRNA from 1 species
AGGAUCAACGCUGGCGGCGUGCCUAAAACAUGCAAGUCGAACGCCCAGCUUCGGUUGGGAGUGGCGGACGGCUGAGUAGCACGUGGGCGACCUGCCCUUUGGUGGGGGAUAACCUCUCGAAAGAGGGGCUAAGACCGCAUGAGCUCGCGGCUUCGGUGCCGUGAGGAAAGCAGCAAUGCGCCAGAGGAGGGGCCCGCGGCCGAUUAGUUAGUUGGUGGGGUAGCGGCCUACCAAGACAGCGAUCGGUAGCCGGUCUGAGAGGAUGGCCGGCCAGACUGGGACUGAGAGACGGCCCAGACUCCUGCGGGAGGCAGCAGUUAGGAAUUUUGGGCAAUGGGCGAAAGCCUGACCCAGCAACGCCGCGUGGGCGACGAAGCCCUUCGGGUGUAAAGCCCUUUUCCCGAGGGACGAAUCUGACGGUACCUGGGGAAUAAGCCCGGCUAACUACGUGCCAGCAGCCGC